UGCACUUUGAUCUUCUCACACAUGCAGCCUGAUAGGAAUCCUGGCUACCAAGCAAAAUGUUUAAUAGCUUUACUGAGAAACCAAUAUAUGUAUAAAUAUAUGCUGGAACACUUUCUGGCAUCCCAUCAGUGGCAUUUUUUUGGAAUCCACUGCAGCUUCAUCCAAAAGAGCAGUCUGUAGAAAUAUCCCCAGCAGAGGGAGUGGCUUAUCUGAGUUGAAGCCUGAAAGGU